rnacentral:lncRNA from 1 species
CUCCGCCCCCGCUCUCACUUUCUCUUCGCUCCCCUCCCCCACUCGCGCCGCGCCCGGCGCCGGCACCUAAUUUAACUCUUUCUCUCCCGCGCUCGGCGGCGCCUGUGCGCCUCCUGGGCGGGGGUCCCAUCCUUCCCGCCAGCCCCCCAGGACGUGGAGCGAGAAGGCUGCCCGGGAAGGGGCGGGAAUGGGCUGAGCGCUGGGCCCAGGUUCUCAGGAUCCUGUGGCCCGCAGCUGGUGGAGAGGGCUCACCGGGAUCCGGCACUCUAGAACCCUCGCUAGUUCACCCGGGUGAGGGUGGGGGUGAGGGUGGAGAUGGGUACCCACAGUCGAGACAGCUGCGCGCCCGAGAAAGGCGGCCAGGCGGGCUUAGAUGCUGGCCCGGCGGGGGGCGAGUAGGGCCAAGGGCCACCAACUUCAUCCUCCCCCCAGGUUCGGAUGCGGAGGGGCCCAGGGCACCAGCAGAGGAUGGAGAGAGGCCACGCCCCUCGGCGACGUCACUGAUGUCAAGGCAACCGGGGGCGGGACGGGAAAUUCCUCACUGCCGGACUGCACCCACCCUUGAGGACCUCACAAUCUCUUUGUGCAGAGCAGAAGCCAGACACAGACAGGGACUACGAAGCGACAAUCCCCAGCCCUGUGUGUUCAAGGAGCCCCCGAGGGGCAGGCGGCCACGCUGCAGAAGGCUAGCCUCUCCGACCCCCAGGGAGCAUGGCGUGGGCUGCAGGGACAGAACGCUUCUCAGAGGAGGUAGGGACCCCAUGGAGUACGUGACGCCGGGCCCUCCAGCUGCAUGCUCCAGUUAGCAGGACAGAGACCCCUCCCCACCCAUUCCCAGCCUUCCCUGGCUUCCUGUUCUGCUGCUGGGAGGCCCUGUCACCACACAUGCGCGUGCACGCGCUAACACACACACCCCUCCCAGGCACCCCCGGAAGACCAGCUGCAGCUGGGGGUGGGGGUGCACAGAGCACAGCCAGGGUUCUCAGAUCCCUAGCCUGCUCUCCCACCCUGCCCUAGCCCCCAACUGCCGAGCUGCUUCUAGGUUUAAAGCAAAACAUGACUCUGUCCUUCCUGCUGCUCAGUGGCAGCAACACUGCCUCGGGUUAUUUUUAGCAGGGAUGCAGGGAAGGCACAGUUCUCCUUGACUUUAACUAGGGACAACCCCCAACCCCCCGCCAAGACUCACUGGAGGAGGCCGGGUACGGAAACCCCCCUCCCAGAAAGGGGAAAUGGUGUGUUUUCUGUUCCUUCAAUUCACUAGAAUGGGAGUUGCAGUCAAGCUUGGGGUUGAACUGAUGGGAAAUUCUAGGUUCCAAAGCCUAUGUAUGGGCUCUGCCCCAUUCCUGGUCUCUGUGUUUCCAUGAAUCUGGGAAGCCAGAGGCACACAGUGUCUGGAGUCGAG